AGACCCGAAACCCGGUGAUCUAGCCAUGGGCAGGUUGAAGGUUGGGUAACACUAACUGGAGGACCGAACCGACUAAUGUUGAAAAAUUAGCGGAUGACCUGUGGCUGGGGGUGAAAGGCCAAUCAAACCGGGAGAUAGCUGGUUCUCCCCGAAAGCUAUUUAGGUAGCGCCUCGUGAAUUCAUCUCCGGGGGUAGAGCACUGUUUCGGCUAGGGGGCCAUCCCGGCUUACCAACCCGAUGCAAACUGCGAAUACCGGAGAAUGUUAUCACGGGAGACACACGGCGGGUGCUAACGUCCGUCGUGAAGAGGGAAACAACCCAGACCGCCAGCUAAGGUCCCAAAGUCAUGGUUAAGUGGGAAACGAUGUGGGAAGGCCCAGACAGCCAGGAUGUUGGCUUAGAAGCAGCCAUCAUUUAAAGAAAGCGUAAUAGCUCACUGGUCGAGUCGGCCUGCGCGGAAGAUGUAACGGGGCUAAACCAUGCACCGAAGCUGCGGCAGCGACACUGUGUG
rnacentral:rRNA from 2 species